rnacentral:rRNA from 1 species
UACAGAGGGUGCAAACGUUGUUCGGAAUUACUGGGCGUAAAGCGUGUGUAGGCGGCCUCGUAGGUCGGAUGUGAAAGCUCUCGGCUCAACCGGGAAAGUGCAUUCGAAACCACAAGGCUUGAGUGUCGGAGAGGAGGGCGGAAUUGUCGGUGUAGAGGUGAAAUUCGUAGAUAUCGACAGGAACACCUGCGGCGAAAGCGGCCCUCUGGACGAACACUGACGCUGAGACACGAAAGCGUGGGGAGCAAACAGG